CGGCAGCACGGGUGCUUGCACCUGGUGGCGAGUGGCGAACGGGUGAGUAAUAUAUCGGAACGUACCUUAUUGUGGGGGAUAACGCAGCGAAAGCUGUGCUAAUACCGCAUAAUCCCUUAGGGGGAAAGCGGGGGACCGUAAGGCCUCGCGCAAUUAGAGCGGCCGAUACCUGAUUAGCUAGUUGGUGAGGUAAAGGCUCACCAAGGCAACGAUCAGUAGCUGGUCUGAGAGGACGAUCAGCCACACUGGGACUGAGACACGGCCCAGACUCCUACGGGAGGCAGCAGUGGGGAAUUUUGGACAAUGGGGGCAACCCUGAUCCAGCAAUGCCGCGUGAGUGAAGAAGGCCUUCGGGUUGUAAAGCUCUUUUGUCAGGGAAGAAACAGCAGCUCUAACACAGUCUGCGAAUGACGGUACCUGAAGAAUAAGCACCGGCUAACUACGUGCCAGCAGCCGCGGUAAUACGUAGGGUGCAAGCGUUAAUCGGAAUUACUGGGCGUAAAGCGUGCGCAGGCGGUUAUGUAAGACAGGCGUGAAAUCCCCGGGCUUAACCUGGGAAUUGCGCUUGUGACUGCAUAGCUAGAGUAUGUCAGAGGGGGGUAGAAUUCCACGUGUAGCAGUGAAAUGCGUAGAGAUGUGGAGGAAUACCAAUGGCGAAGGCAGCCCCCUGGGAUAAUACUGACGCUCAUGCACGAAAGCGUGGGGAGCAAACAGGAUUAGAUACCCUGNNAGUCCACGCCCUAAACGAUGCUGACUAGUUGUUCGGGAAUUUAUUCCUGAGUAACGUAGCUAACGCGUGAAGUCAGCCGCCUGGGGAGUACGGUCGCAAGAUUAAAACUCAAAGGAAUUGACGGGGACCCGCACAAGCGGNGGNNGAUGUGGAUUNAUUCGAUGCAACGCGAAAAACNUUACCUACCCUUGA
rnacentral:rRNA from 1 species